UUUUUUUCAUUUCUUUUUUCAACAACUUCCGCGCUAACGAUUUUUGAAUUUCUCCCAUUCUCCUCUUCGUUCGAUUCGGUGUAACUUGUUCUGUAAGAGUAUCUUUAUUCAAAAAUGUUUACAUUAUUAUUCCUGCAAAUACCGAGUCAAAACGUAGAGGAAAAAAACAGAGAGAGAAACGAGUUCCAUCAAUUAAACUCUGUUCGUUAAUUAUUAUAAUAUAGCAUCGAUAAUUAAUUCAAUUACGAGAGUCGUGGUCGUUUCAUUUUUCGUCCCAUAUAUUAUGUCAUAGAUUAGUUAUAUGGCCGUACAAUUUUAAUUAAGCGAUAAUCAAUAAUUGCAGUUACAUGUAUAGACGAAAAAUAUAUUUUACAUGAUGAAAAGAAGAAUACGUAUGUAACGUUUGUAUAUGUAUACCAGACGACGCAAAACGUUAAAAUAAAAUGAAAAAUAAAACUCCAAGGUCAAAUUGUUCUACAAUUCAAACGUAUGUAAUUCAUGUUGUAUUAUAUAAUGAAUGAUUAACGUUAUUACUACUGCAGCAACAGCGACAGCAGCAGCUGCUGUUGGUUAACUUGAAAUUAAACAUUGGCAAAUUGGCGAGAUUCGAGGUGACGCGUAUUUAUAUACAUACUUAUUUAAGUUUCAGUAGUGAAGGAAAGAAGAUAAAGGAUAAACGCGGACAUCCUCACCGCCCGAGGUCAUGCGCGAGACUGACGAGAGGCCGGAUUCUCGACCUCGUAGAGAAUCGAAUCGGGGCGGUGGAAAUUGUACGAGCGAAAUUCACCGAAUAUCUACGAAAAUAACCGAAUACUCAUCAGCCCCCUUCUCCAUAGAUUAUUUCUAUAGCUACAACUUACUACCCACCGAAGAGAUGUGGACUUCACGCAGAUUCAUUAUCGAUUUAUUAUGAUUAUGAAGAUUGGGACGAAAUCAAUUACUGAUUUAUAAAUUCAGAAUAAAAAAAUAAACUAUAACUUUCUAUCUUCACGGGCUGGCGAGACCAGAAAGGCUCUAACAGUUGUUAACAUCUUUUAACCCGUUCGUAUGAUACGCAUAAUUUUUUGUUUCAAAUUUAUACAUAUAAAAUCUGCAGUGCAGUAACGAUAUAGAGAGUAUGUUCUUAAUUGCGUCUAAGCUCCUGCAUAUCGGCGACUUCAAGUAUAUAGAACAAAAAUAGAAGCGCAAUAAAAACAAGUAACAGAGAGAAAGAAAAAAAGGAAAGGAUCGUACGACCCGAGGGAAAAAUGAAAAAACAAAUUUUGCAGCAUAAGGUUGCGGGAAUGUAAGUGUACGUAUAAAACUGCAUGUUUAAAAAUAGAAGACCGGUUUCCGAAAUCGAACCAUUUAAGGACUAUUAUAAAAGAUUUAUAUAUAAAUGGUUUAGAUCUCUCCAUUUUUUUUCGAGCUUGUUUCAGAAAAAUAUCCGCCAUUACUGCACAGCAUACAAUUUUUAGAUCAAUGUAUCAAUUUAAGAAAUAUGCCUACACUGAAAUUGGAUAAAGACCAAAAGGAAAGAAUAUUAUACGCGAGGGAUAAAAGAACUGCAUAAAAAAAUUGUCGCCGAAAGUUUUAGAGAUGUAAGAAUUAUGAGAAAACGAUUAAUAAUAAUGAUCCAAAUAUUCAAACUUGAUAGCUACGUUGAACUCGAGCGUUAAUAUACGUACUACAAUAUUGAAUGGUUGUUUACUUGAAGCGCUAUACCGCAUCUUUAUUUUGAUAAUCAUUGAACGUGAUUGAAGAUGCUAUACAUAUAUGUAAUAAUAUACGUUCAUCAUUGGUGAAUUUAAACUCUGACGAAUGAUGUAAUGAUUUUUUAUGGUAAAAUACUGCAUGCUCCUAGCAGAAAUUCAGUAUCUUUUUCCUUUAGACGCACUCGAAUUCUGAUUUUUGUAACAAUAAUUUGAUUUUAUUCAUUCAUUUUUUUGCGGAAUUUAUCUUUCUGUUUUAUAUAAUCUCAGCUGAUACGUAUAAAGGAAUUUUACGUUUCAAAAAAUUUACACGUACAGGUAUACUCGUAAGAAAAAUCCACGUGUAUAUUAUAAGAAGACCUCGUCAAUACGUCUUUGAUGUAGCUGUGUAAUAAUGUUAUCUACAAUCUUUCGAUCCCUGAGAAAAUAUGGGCGCGGAAAUGCUUGAUGAAAAAAAAAAUAAAAAAAUAAGAGAGGAAACAUAGAUAUUUUAUAUUUACGACAUCGUUGUGAGUAAUGCUUCAAAUAUUGCUGUGGCAUCGCUUAGUACAGGCAGCACAUACUACGCAACGUGAUUUAAAUCGUGCAAUCAUUCUAAUUGAAAAAUUAAAAAAAUAAAACGAUUCGGUAUAUUAUAUCAUUCGAUCUAACUAUGAUUUAUAUCUAUCAAGCCCCAUUGAAUUAAUUUACACGUUACACAUCUGGCGCAAAACGAUAUAACGAAAUAUAUACAUUUAUGCGUAUAACGGUAUAAAAUUCGCUCGGACUUGAGAAUAAAAAUAAAAGACACUGUUCGUUCAUCAUGUCCUUUUGUAGUUCUGAAUCGAAUUCUUUCUGUAUUUUUUUCUCCUUAUAUAUAGUUUUCCCAAACUCGUCACAUCAGCAAUACGUGAACGGUGUAAUAAAAUAAUUUGCUCGUUAUAUAGGGUUUAAAUUGCAGAUGAUGAUGAUGAUGACGAUCGGUUGGUGCCGCCCGGUAACGGAUAACCGAUAAGAAUGCGAGAACUGGCGCCGCGUGAGCUAGACGCUCAUCAAUAAAACAUGGCUGCUGAGCGCCGCGACGCGAUAAACAAGAAAGAAGAAGUCCUGAUGGUGUCUGUACUGAUAUAGGUAUACAUAUAUCUCCUCUACCUAUAUCUAUUGGGAUUCCUACUCGAUCGAGAUCAUCGUCCGCCUCUUUAUCCCCUAACUAGUUUUAUAAAUGCACUUUUUCUCCACUUUUUAUCAUCAUCGACACACGGUACGAUUAACGUGCACCACAUGUUAUGUGCGUGAAUCGGAGAAUUGAAGUC